rnacentral:rRNA from 1 species
GGCGGCGUGCCUAAGAUAUGCAAGUCGAGGGGGUUUAGACCCCCGGCGAACGGGUGAGUAACACGUGGGAACUUUCUACAAGUUCGGGAUAUCCCGCCGAAAGGCGGAGCAAUACCGGAUGUGGCCGCAAGGCUAAAGAUUUAUCGCUUGUAGUGAGGCCCGCGCCCCAUCAGCUAGUUGGUAAGGUAAAGGCUUACCAAGGCUACGACGGGUAGCGGAACCGAGAGGUUGAUCCGCCACACUGGGACUGCGACACGGCCCAGACUCCUACGGGAGGCAGCAGUUUGGAAUAUUGGACAAUGGACGAAAGCCUGAUGCAGCGACGCCGCGUGGGGGAUGAAGCUUUUCGGAGUGUAAACCCCUUUCGACCCGGACGAAUGCCCCGCAAGGGGACUGACGGUACGGGUAUAAGAAGCCCCGGCUAACUACGUGCCAGCAGCCGCGGUAAGACGUAGGGGGCCAGCGUUGCUCGGAAUUACUGGGUGUAAAGGGUUCGUAGGCGGUGCGGCAAGUCGGGAGUGAAAUCUCUGGGCUCAACCCAGAGGCUGCUUCCGAAACUGCCGUGCUUGAGUGUGGGAGAGGCGCGUGGAAUUGCAGGUGUAGCGGUGAAAUGCGUAGAUAUCUGCAGGAACACCCGUGGCGAAAGCGGCGCGCUGGACCACAACUGACGCUGAGGAACGAAAGCUAGGGGAGCAAACAGGAUUAGAUACCCUGGUAGUCCUAGCCCUAAACGAUCAGGACUUGGGGUGCUUCACGUUCGUGGAGCGUCCCGGAGCUAACGCGUUAAGUCCUGCACCUGGGGAGUACGGUCGCAAGACUGAAACUCAAAGGAAUUGACGGGGGCCCGCACAAGCGGUGGAACAUGUGGUUCAAUUCGACGCUACGCGAGGAACCUUACCUGGGCUCGAAGCGCACUUGACUAGCUAUAGAAAUAUGGCCUUCCCGCAAGGGACAAGUGUGGAGGCGCUGCAUGGCUGUCGUCAGCUCGUGCCGUGAGGUGUUGGGUUAAGUCCCGCAACGAGCGCAACCCUUGUCCUGUGUUGCAACUAAUAGGCACUCUCAGGAGACCGCCAGCGAUAAGCUGGAGGAAGGUGGGGACGACGUCAAGUCAUCAUGGCCUUUAUGUCCAGGGCUACACACGUGCUACAAUGGGCGGUACAGACCGCUGCAAACCCGCGAGGGGGAGCAAAUCGGAAAAAACCGUUCUCAGUUCGGAUUGCAGGCUGCAACUCGCCUGCAUGAAGCUGGAAUCGCUAGUAAUGGCAUAUCAGAACGAUGCCGUGAAUACGUUCCCGGGCCUUGUACACAC